rnacentral:tRNA from 1 species
AAUUUGUUAGUAUAAUUUUUUACAUUUAGCUUCCAACUAAAAAAUCAAUCCCUUUUGACAAAUUA